rnacentral:lncRNA from 1 species
CGCAGAAACCGAGUUCGCUCCAACAAUAGUGCAAUGAAAAGUGAAACAAAUGAAGCAAAUGAAAUAUGCGAAUGCGGUCCUUUAAAGAUAGAUCAGAUAGGCAAUUUUGCACUACUUGAAAGGACUUAAGUUUUCUUUUCUACAUUGACAACUAUUUGUCAUGCUGGGCCUAAUUAAAUUGACAAGUUUCCUAGGUUUGGUAGAUCUAUGGUUUAAAUAGUACAAAUUUGAUGGUUAUUGAUUGAUGGUAAUUGAUAUCUUGGUUAGAAAAGAGGCAGAGAUAAUGCUAGGAUGGGAUUUAGAUCUUUUGAUUUGGAAUAUUGGGUGUGUGACAAAGCCAAAGAAAAGGCCACAGAACCUUACAAGUUGUUCCAACAAGGAUCCCCACACCCAGUAUCACAUUCCAAGAUUGUGCAUCUGAAAGCAAGAGAAAACCUACCAAUCUCCACAUGUAAAAGGAGAAUUCAUUUUCAGAGAGGUCAUUAUGAGCUCCCUAUUGACCCUUUAUAUGCCUUGUUGUGACAGGAGCUGGGACAGGACCAUAUGACAAAAUUAAUUACAAUAAUUCAAAGUAGGAAAAUAUGGAUGAGUGGAGAUAAUGUUCAGUUUCCUAAAGUUGAAGCAAUAUUUUCAAAAAUGAAGGCCAUCUAUCUGUGACUACUUAGGAAGCUCUAGCUCACUGUGAUUUUCUGGGAAUUGUCAAUUCAGAAGAGGCCCCAGUCACUUAGUCAUAAAUAGGAGGGUGGUGCAGAUGGAUAUAGUGACUGGGGAACAUAACUUAU